GAUGAACGCUGGCGGCGUGCCUAACACAUGCAAGUCGAGCGAUUCUCUUCGGAGAAGAGCGGCGGACGGGUGAGUAACGCGUGGGUAACCUGCCCUGUACACACGGAUAACAUACCGAAAGGUAUGCUAAUACGAGAUAAUAUGCUUUUAUCGCAUGGUAGAAGUAUCAAAGCUUUUGCGGUACAGGAUGGACCCGCGUCUGAUUAGCUAGUUGGUAAGGUAACGGCUUACCAAGGCGACGAUCAGUAGCCGACCUGAGAGGGUGAUCGGCCACAUUGGAACUGAGACACGGUCCAAACUCCUACGGGAGGCAGCAGUGGGGAAUAUUGCACAAUGGGCGAAAGCCUGAUGCAGCAACGCCGCGUGAGCGAUGAAGGCCUUCGGGUCGUAAAGCUCUGUCCUCAAGGAAGAUAAUGACGGUACUUGAGGAGGAAGCCCCGGCUAACUACGUGCCAGCAGCCGCGGUAAAUCACGUGUA
rnacentral:rRNA from 1 species